rnacentral:lncRNA from 1 species
GGAAGCUCAAGUUCUUGGUGGUUCAGAGGUUAGAGACCUCUGAUUACUAGGACAGAGCAGAAUAGCAGGGCUGGUCCUGGUAGAUCAGACAUCUCAUGACAUCCUUUAAAAGGGACUAGAAUAUUCAGAACUCCGGUGUAACUAAAUGAUCCUCAAGCUUUACCAGCAGGUGAGCAAGGUCCCAUUGUAUUUGGUACUCACAUCCCCACCAAUUCUGUAAAAGUUUGCCAACUUUCCCCUCCAUCCCCUGCACCCUUUCACCAAAAGAUAUGCCUAAGAGUUCCCAAGAGACGUCUAACAUAGGCCUGCAUGUCAGCCCAGUCUUCUGGGCUGAGCUGCUGCACUGUUGCUGGCCUUGAUGGCUGAACCUGAUCUCUGUUGUGGCACCCACCACUCUUUCUCAAGCCUUGACACCUUGGCAGGCUUUGGCAAAAAGAGGAGAGCUGUUCUUCCUCGGCAUUAUGUUCACUUAGCAGGGUCCCACAGCAGGAUUGCUUGGACCCCAGAGUAUUGUAGGGCUUAAUAAGACCAGCCCUUUCAUCUCACACGCUCUAUCCUUUCUCUCACUGGUGCACCCACGUCAGGUGUCUUGAGUGGGGAGUGCUCGAAUAUCUGCCACCAGCUUGAGUCAGAACCUCGACUUCCCUCAGCUUUUCAGGGUCUGUUACUGAGUCUGGUCCACACUCCAGGGUCUUUUCCUCACGGUCUGGGUCUGGUCUUUUUCAGGUGCCUACCUUUCCUCCCUGCAAACUGCCUUGAGUUGCCUCCCCUUCUCCCUUCCUUCCUGGUCUGUCAGAGACAUCUUGUCUGGGUGCAUAUUUGAACCCCAUCAGUAGACAGAAAACAUGUAUUUCCUUGAAGGCCCCUCAGACCCCAGGUACAAACAUUGAAGUAAAUAACAGCAGGGAUGGGGGUUCUGCCUCGCUUCACCUGCCAGCCACGUGCAGACCUUGUUUCAGUCCAACUGAGACUUUAGCAAGUGCUUCAUUCUGGUUUGUGAAUGGCUUCCCAGUGUCUGUCACUGUGUUCACAGGGCCACCGGGGUUGGCUGAGUCAGAAUACCAGCCAUGUGGCAUGUCGCAUGGGGCAAGAGCUGUGCUGCCCAUGGGAGUCCAGAGAAGGAGCACACUAAGGACCAACACCAGCUCUGCAGAUGAGCAAUAUCAUCACAACUAACCAAUUGAUCAAUUAUUCAUUCAGUCAUUUAAUGAGAAGCUACUGUGUACCCAUCCUUUCCUUGGCCUUCUGGACAGUUAGACAUGGUGCCUGUCUUCAGAUUGCUCACACACCAGUUGGAGACACAAAAGUUACAUGCAACUCCUCUCCAUUGGAUCUCUAGCACCUAGAAUAGAGCUGGGUACACAUGAUGAGGUGCUUAAUACGUAUUUGUCAAAUUGAAUGUCAAGUUUUAGGAGUUUAAAGAGUGUUUUCAAAUGGGGAGAAGCCGAGACACAAAUAGUCUCAGGAAUGAGAUGAAAUUAUUUAACCAAUUGGAGAUGAAAUUCGAAAUGGAAACUAUGACAUGACUCAACAUCCUCAAGCCCUGAAGUAAUAAUUAGCACAUAAAGUUGGUCUGUUAUGGACUUUGUGUUGUGCUCCCUGCAAAAUUGAGAGAAGACAGCUGUCUGCAAACCAGAAAGAGAGUCCUCACUGCACUUCAUAUCUGCCAAUGGAUCCUUGCUCUUGAACCUCCCAACCUGCAGAAUCAUGAGAAACAAACAUUGUGUAAGCCACCCACUCUACAGUAAUUUGUUCUAGCAGACCGAGCUGACUGAGCAUUUGCUCUAGGGGAAGCCUGCAGCUAUGUCAUGAGGACCCUCAACAGCCCUGUGCAGAGGACUAUGUGGCAUGAAAGAUACCUUCUGCCAACAACCAGCCCCAACUUGCCAAGCAUGUGAACAAGCUAAACUGAAAGCAGAUCUUCAGCCCCAAUCAAGCCUUCAGAUGACAGUAACCUCAGCCAAUAUACUGACUAUAACCUCAUAAAAGACCCUGAACCAGAACCCUCUAAGCCACUCUCAAACUCUACCCCACAUAAACUGUGAAAUAAUAUAUGUUUAUUGUUAUUUUGGGCCACUAAGUUUAGGGGUAAUUUGUUAUGCAGCAAUUAUAUAACCAAUAUUCCAACUAAAGCUGAAAUGCCUCCUGCAUUUCCUCCCUCAGUGGCCUACACUACAAUCCAAGUUCAGGAAAAAACGAGAACCUUAUUUAAGGUAGUGGCAAGAAAUGAAUGGAUUAACUGGACAUUUAAAAAGUAUUUGAUAGAACUUGGUGAUAGGAGGUGGGGCAGUUAGGGACUAGCAGGAAUUUAGGAUGAGAGGCUCAUUCAGUUGGGCUUAUGUUUUACUGAGGUCAAUUCCAAAAGGAAGGAAAGAAAAAUCCAGCCAAAUAACCUUUAAUGGACUAAGUCUUCUUUCAUAAGUCAGUUUGCACAACUUCUUCACAGGAAUCAGAUUUUAAAUAUCAUAACUGAAGAGAAAAAAAACAGCAAGAGGAGUUUACCUUUAUGGUGGAAUGACACUAAUCUUUCAUGCUUUCAAAUUUCUUGAAAUUUCCUUCGUAUGCAUUAUCUUAUUUGCUGUUCACAGUAAAACUGUGUAUUGGCUAAGCCAGUUUUUAUGAAAAUAUAAGCAGUGAGAAAAAGUAAGAUAGUAUGUCAGUUAGUAGAUUUUUUUAUGGACAUUGUGACAGAGGACACAACUUAAACUGGCUUUUUUUUUUUUUUUUUUUUUUUUGAGACAGAGUUUUGCUCUUGUUGCCCAGGCUGGAGUGCAAUGGCACGAUCUCGGCUCACUGCAACCUCCGCCCCCUGGGUUCAAGUGAUUCUCCUGCCUCAGCCUCCCGAGUAGCUGGAAACACAGGUGCCUGCCACCGCGUCCGGCUAAUUUUUUGUAUUUUUAGUAGAGAUGGAGUUUCACCAUGUUGGCCAGGCUAGUCUCAAACUCCUGACCUCAGGUGAUCCACCUGCCUCAGCCUCCCAAACUGCUGGGAUUACAGGUGUGAGCCACCGCACCUGGCAAAAGGGUUUUGUUUCUAAAGGUACAAGAACAGGUACAGCUUCGGGUCAGUGUGAUUCAGCCCUCAACAAAGCCACCAGGAUCCAUUUCUUGGCUCUGCUUCAUUGCUUCUCAUAGGCUGGCUCAUUCUCAGACUGUACGUGAUAUGGUUCAGUGGCUUUAGGCUCCAAGCAUGACAACACCCAACACUCAGAUUGAUGGAGCUAGAGCAAGUCUCUUCAGGCAGCGUCUAGGAAAGUUCUGAAAUUCACUCUGAUUGGCUGCCCAUCUCUGAAUCAACCACGUAACCCAAGGAAAUAGGAACUGCUGAUGGGUCAGGGUCGGUUCACAUGCUUCAUACCUGGAGCUGAGAAGACAUCAACUCCAUCCUGGAGCUCAUGGGCUGUGACUAGAGCAGACGGAGUUCUCAGAGGAAAGUCAGAGUACAGUUAUCAAAGCAAGCAGUUACAGAUGCUAGAUGACCAAAAUCCAAUAACUGCCCAGUAAAAAUAUUAUACUAAAAUCUAGGAACAUGUGGCUGAUGGACAGUCAUUACCAGGAAAAAAAAGUUGUUAGGUCUAAAUGUAAAAAUUGAGGCAAAGAAAGUGCCCGAGCUAGAAUUAGAACCCUGACUACCUGAAUAUUAGAUCGGUUAGUGCCACUUCUACCCUACCGCUGCUGAGGGGGGAGGUGAACAGUCUCUCAGGUUGCAGACAGUGGAUGGUUUCCCUCCCUCUAUCUUCUCAUUUCAUGGUGGAGCUGAAUCAUCCUAUGUUCUACAUGCUGACAGUGGAAGGUUAUGACCAUACCCAUAUCCUGUUGUCUCUGAGUCUCCUGUGGUGCAGAGAUCCCUGAGACUUGUAGAACAGAACCUGAGUGGAAAGUGGGAGGGGGAUUGGGGGUGGUUCCCACGAAUCAAGCAGCAACCUGGAGACAAGGAACACCUGCAACCUCAGCAGUGGAUCAGAACGGCUGACUGAGCAAUGGACAUACUGUGCAUCUUUCAUUAGUGCUGAGACCAACUUCUAGCUUGGAGUCCCAUGAAAGGGAAACUUAGCCCUAACACCACAACAAGGAGCACAGUGUCAAGUGGGGACAUUGCAGCAGAGUUGCCGCAAAGACUCUGAAGUGCUAUGGGAAGGGAUAUUUCCUAGGAGGGGUUAAAGGGAUUCUCCUUAAGAAGGGGGCUGGGGGAAUCUGAGUAAGAGGUGGGGGAAAGCAGCCAAAGCAUGAUACUUAGUCAUAGCAUCACAAGAAUUUGACUCAGAGUUCCUACAAGGUUGUCCUAAAAUGCCCUGGUUCAGGUGGGUCAGCUUUGAAAGCACCCAAAUUACCCCGUUUUCUGUACUAUGUUUAAAGGCAAUUUGAAAGAAAGACCCCUAAUUUGGAAACAUGUGCUAAGGCUAAAUCACUUUUUCAACUGAAAAUUCUUUUUUAUGUAUUGUUACACUCCAUUUUCUGUCUUGUGUUUUUUGUUGUUG